CCUACGGGGUGCAGCAGUCGCGAAAACUUCGCAAUGGGGGCAACCCCGACGAGGGGAUUCCAAGUGCCAGCACUAUGUGUUGGCUGUUCUCCUGUCUAAAAAACAGGAGGAGUAAGGGGCGGGAAAGACGGGUGCCAGCCGCCGCGGUAAUACCUGCGCCCCAAGUGGUGGUCGAUAUUAUUGAGCCUAAAACGUCCGUAGCCGGCCUUUUAAAUCUUUGGGUAAAUCGGACAGCUUAACUGUCCGAAUUCCGAGGAGACUGGAAGGCUUGGGACCGGGAGAGGUUAGAGGUACUUCUGGGGUAGGGGUAAAAUCCUGUAAUCCUGGAAGGACCACCGGUGGCGAAGGCGUCUGACUAGAACGGAUCCGACGGUGAGGGACGAAGCCCUGGGGCGCAAACGGGAUUAGAUACCCCCGUAGUCC
rnacentral:rRNA from 1 species